CUUAGCUUACAAGAAACGGAUUUAUUCUCAUCAAAUUAAAGGUUAUCUUAACGAGCCUAAAGUGAGAAUAGCAAAUAAUAAACUCACUCAGGACUCGAUUGAAGCGUUAUAAGAGAGCGAGCUAGUUAACUCGUAAUUGAGUGACAAUCGUGUGCACGACUUUAUCACGAACUUGUGAAGAUCUGUUGUUUCGCUGUGAUGCCAGCAGGUCAUUGUAUUCAUGUGGAUACAUUAGGAUACCAGAAUUCCUUGGAUCGUUUGUCAUAACUUGAGGAGUUCGCGAAGCAACAUACACACUUUAACAUAGUUUAGGUAUUGUGUUAUCGUAAAGCGGCCAAAAAAGAUUGGUCCCAUUCCUACACGAUCGCUACGUUUGUUGGUCCUUGCGUCUCCUGGUACCUGAGAAACAGAGAAUGAAGAAAUUAGGUUGCCAUCCGCAGAAAGAUUAUCGUGUGUGUGUCUACUAGCUGAAGUUUUGUGGUGUCUAAUAACUCUACGGUGAUCUAGCCUCGUUAGCUAAAGCGAAGACAAUAGUAUCCGAACCUGACGAGGAUACUUGCCAAGCGUUUGUUGUGAUUAUGGUUAUCCUGCUUAGCCUAGGUGACUUGAGGUAUACAGAAUACUGUGGAGAGUCGAAGGCUUAUUACUACGUACCGAAAGGUAUCCUCUUAAAACUGGCAAAAACGACGUAACGAAUAGGUACACUAGGCAGGUUAUAUUCUUACCUGUAACCGAAGGACUAUUACUAUUAUCUCGAGCUAUUAAUUUAGGUUCUACCAACGACGGUACGAGUUUAGCAUAAUAUAAGCUGGUCGGUUGACCUUUGAAUGAAAAUACAUCAUGUUCUCUGGUGAGGUAUACUAGUGGUUGCCGUCCGGAGACAACCCCCCUCAGUGAAAAGCAAUAGACGAGUUGAUGAAACUAGACUAGUUUACUAUUGGAGACUAGCUAUUGUUAACUACUAAGUUGCAUGCAUGCCACUGCUUGUAAUUCACCAACUGCGUGCGAAAACUUAUGUCUAGAAAGAUGUAUGCAUUGAGUAACCAUUUGGCACUAGCUUUUAUCUCGGAGCCGGUCAGGUCUUAAUCGAAAGUUUGUGCUAUGUUUGUAGCAUAUUACCUAGUUCGUAAGAGUCCCACCGAGUACUAUUAGCAUAUAUUAGCUAGCACUUGGUGCAAGGAAAUUGGUUUAGUUCCGGCUCGAUCGAAGAGUACUUGUUACUAAAGUAUAUAAAUUGAUAUAUAGAUAGGAGCACUGAAAUAGAAUAGUGUCAUUAGCUAGUAUAUAAUAGGAGUGCCCGCUACCGUCAAAUAAUUAUUUUAAAGUUUGUGCUCUGCGUGUGUGCCAUAAAUAUUAUGAUUGCUUUUCCUGGUUUGAAAAAGCGGAGAUGCGGAAUUAUAGGACUUGAGAGAUUUCCUUAAAGAAAAACAAAUGAUUUAUGU